AUUGAACGCUGGCGGCAGGCCUAACACAUGCAAGUCGAGCCGAGCGGCGGACGGGUGAGUAAUGCCUAGGAAUCUUCCUGGUCGUUGGUGCUACCUUCCUGAAACGGGCGCUAAUUCCGCCUACUCUCAGAUCAGCCUCGGUCGGAUUAGCUAGUUGGUGGGGUAAAGGCCUACAAAGGCGACGAUCCGUAACUGGUCUGAGAGGAGGAUCAGUCAAACUGGAACUGAGACACGGUCCAGACUCCUACGGGAGGCAGCAGUGGGGAAUAUUGGACAAUGGGCGAAAGCCUGAUCCAGCCAUGCCGCGUGUGUGAAGAAGGUCUUCGGAUUGUAAAGCACUUUAAGUUGGGAGGCGUUACCAACAGAAUAAGCACCGGCUAACUUCGUGCCAGCAGCCGCGGUAAUUC
rnacentral:rRNA from 1 species